AUACCUCAGUGGAUCAUUUCACGGUAGGUAAUGAUGCCACUUCUCACGUGGUG
rnacentral:sRNA from 1 species